GUGUUCGCUUCAGCAGCACAAAUACUAAAACUGGAAUGAUACAGAGAAGAUCAGCAUGGCCCCUGCUCAAGGAUGACAUUCAAAUUCAUGAAGCAUUCCAUAUUUUU